AACUGAAACAUCUAAGUACCCCGAGGAAAAGAAAUCAACCGAGAUUCCGAAAGUAGCGGCGAGCGAAAUUGGACUAGCCCUUAAGCUUUACACGCGUUAGACGAACGGUCUGGAAAGUCCGACGAUACAGGGUGAUAGUCCCGUAGUUGACGACGUGUGUUCAGUGAAAUCGAGUAGGGCGGGACACGUGAUAUCCUGUCUGAAUAUGGGGGGACCAUCCUCCAAGGCUAAAUACUACUGACUGACCGAUAGUGAACCAGUACCGUGAGGGAAAGGCGAAAAGAACCCCUGUGAGGGGAGUGAAAUAGAACCUGAAACCGUGUACGUACAAGCAGUAGGAGCAGGCUUUGUCCUGUGACUGCGUACCUUUUGUAUAAUGGGUCAGCGACUUAUAUUCAGUGGCAAGGUUAACCAUCUAGGGGAGCCGUAGGGAAACCGAGUCUUAACUGGGCGUUCAGUCUCUGGAUAUAGACCCGAAACCAGGUGAUCUAGCCAUGGGCAGGUUGAAGGUUGAGUAACAUCAACUGGAGGACCGAACCGACUAAUGUUGAAAAAUUAGCGGAUGACUUGUGGCUAGGGGUGAAAGGCCAAUCAAACCUGGAGAUAGCUGGUUCUCCCCGAAAGCUAUUUAGGUAGCGCCUCGGACGAAUACUACUGGGGGUAGAGCACUGUUAAGGCUAGGGGGUCAUCCCGACUUACCAACCCUUUGCAAACUCCGAAUACCAGUAAGUACUAUCCGGGAGACACACGGCGGGUGCUAACGUCCGUCGUGGAGAGGGAAACAACCCAGACCGCCAGCUAAGGUCCCAAAUUACUACUAAGUGGGAAACGAUGUGGGAAGGCUCAGACAGCCAGGAUGUUGGCUUAGAAGCAGCCAUCAUUUAAAGAAAGCGUAAUAGCUCACUGGUCGAGUCGGCCUGCGCGGAAGAUGUAACGGGGCUAAGUAGUAAACCGAAGCUGCGGCAAUGUGCUUUUGCACAUUGGGUAGGGGAGCGUUCUGUAAGCGGUUGAAGGUGUGUGGUAACGCAUGCUGGACGUAUCAGAAGUGCGAAUGCUGACAUGAGUAACGAUAAAGGGGGUGAAAAACCUCCUCGCCGGAAGACCAAGGGUUCCUGUCCAACGUUAAUCGGGGCAGGGUAAGUCGACCCCUAAGGCGAGGCCGAAAGGCGUAGUCGAUGGGAAACGGGUUAAUAUUCCCGUACUUCUUACAAUUGCGAUGGGGGGACGGAGAAGGCUAGGUGGGCCUGGCGACGGUUGUCCAGGUUCAAGUGCGUAGGCUUAAGAGUUAGGUAAAUCCGGCUCUUUUUAAGGCUGAGACACGACGUCGAGCAUCUACGGAUGUGAAGUCAUUGAUGCCAUGCUUCCAGGAAAAGCCUCUAAGCUUCAGAUUGUAAGGAAUCGUACCCCAAACCGACACAGGUGGUCGGGUAGAGAAUACCAAGGCGCUUGAGAGAACUCGGGUGAAGGAACUAGGCAAAAUGGUACCGUAACUUCGGGAGAAGGUACGCUCUCGACGGUGAAGUCCCUCGCGGAUGGAGCUAUUGAGAGUCGCAGAUACCAGGUGGCUGCAACUGUUUAUUAAAAACACAGCACUGUGCAAAAUCGUAAGAUGACGUAUACGGUGUGACGCCUGCCCGGUGCCGGAAGGUUAAUUGAUGGGGUUAGACUUCGGUCGAAGCUCUUGAUCGAAGCCCCGGUAAAGGCGGCCGUAACUAUAACGGUCCUAAGGUAGCGAAAUUCCUUGUCGGGUAAGUUCCGACCUGCACGAAUGGCGUAAUGAUGGCCACGCUGUCUCCACCCGAGACUCAGUGAAAUUGAAAUCGCUGUGAAGAUGCAGUGUACCCGCGGCUAGACGGAAAGACCCCGUGAACCUUUACUACAGCUUGGCACUGAACAUUGACCCUACAUGUGUAGGAUAGGUGGGAGGCUUUGAAGCACGUACGCCAGUAUGUGUGGAGCCGUCCUUGAAAUACCACCCUUGUAGUGUUGAUGUUCUAACGUCGACCCCUUAUCGGGGUUGCGGACAGUGCCUGGUGGGUAGUUUGACUGGGGCGGUCUCCUCCCAAAGAGUAACGGAGGAGCACGAAGGUGGGCUAAUCACGGUUGGACAUCGUGAGGUUAGUGCAAUGGCAUAAGCCCGCUUGACUGCGAGAAUGACAAUUCGAGCAGGUGCGAAAGCAGGUCAUAGUGAUCCGGUGGUUCUGAAUGGAAGGGCCAUCGCUCAACGGAUAAAGGUACUCCGGGGAUAACAGGCUGAUACCGCCCAAGAGUUCAUAUCGACGGCGGUGUUUGGCACCUCGAUGUCGGCUCAUCACAUCCUGGGGCUGAAGUCGGUCCCAAGGGUAUGGCUGUUCGCCAUUUAAAGUGGUACGCGAGCUGGGUUUAGAACGUCGUGAGACAGUUCGGUCCCUAUCUGCCGUGGGCGUUGGAAGAUUGAAGGGGGCUGCUCCUAGUACGAGAGGACCGGAGUGGACGAACCUCUGGUGUUCGGGUUGUGUCGCCAGACGCAUUGCCCGGUAGCUAAGUUCGGAAUCGAUAACCGCUGAAAGCAUCUAAGCGGGAAGCGAGCCCUGAGAUGAGUCUUCCCUGAUACUUUAAGUAUCCUAAAGGGUUGUCGGAGACUACGACGUUGAUAGGUCAGGUGUGUAAGUGCUGUGAGGCAUUGAGCUAACUGAUACUAAUUGCCCGUGAGGCUUAACCAUACAACACCCAAGGGGUUU
rnacentral:rRNA from 1 species